ACGGGGUGCAGCAGGCGCGAAACCUCCACAAUGCGCGAAAGCGUGAUGGGGUUAUCCCGAGUGCCGUCCGAUGAGGACGGCUUUUCAUCGGUGUAAGGAUCCGAUGGAAUAAAGGGGGGGCAAGACUGGUGUCAGCCGCCGCGGUAAUACCAGCCCCCUGAGUGGUAAGGACGAUUAUUUGGCCUAAAGCGUUCGUAGCCGGCUUAUCAAGUCUUUUGUUAAAUCCAACGAUUCAAUCGUUGGGCCGCAAAAGAUACUGUUAUGCUAGAGGACGGGAGAGGUCGACGGUAUUCCAGGGGUAGGGGUGAAAUCCUAUAAUCCUUGGAGGACCACCAGUGGCGAAGGCGGUCGACUAGAACGUGCCUGACGGUGAGGGACGAAAGCUGGGGGAGCGAACCGGAUUAGAUACCCGGGUAGUCCCAGCCGUAAACGAUGCGGGCUAGGUGUUGGGGCAGCCAUGAGCUGCUCCAGUGCCGCAGAGAAGUUAUUAAGCCCGCCGCCUGGGGAGUACGGCCGCAAGGCUGAAACUUAAAGGAAUUGGCGGGGGAGCACCACAAGGGGUGAAGGCUGCGGUUUAAUUGGAGUCAACGCCGGGAACCUUACCGGGGCUGACAGCAGAGUGAAGGCCAGACUGAAGAUCUUGCCAGACAAGCUGAGAGGAGGUGCAUGGCCGUCGACAGUUCGUGCCGUGAGGUGUCCUGUUAAGUCAGGCAACGAACGAGACCCCCGCUUUUAGUUGCCAGCGGAUUCCAACGGAAUGCCGGGCACACUAACGGGACUGCCACCGAUAAG
rnacentral:rRNA from 1 species